GUGGGACUGAAAAUCAGAUGGCUAAGGGUGCAGAUGCAUUAUUUUUUUUAAUAGAAAAGGAGUGAAGAAUUGAAAUGAUAAUCCACUCCAUCGUACUGUGCUACAGAGUUUGGACUUUAUAUAGAAAAUGAAGAGUUACCAAAGCCAAUUACAGUAACAGAGGUGAAUAUUUUCGUGAGAUCUCAGAUGCCAAUAUCCAGAAGUACGCGGCUGGCUCCAGUAUUUUUAAAAACAGAGUGACAACAAAGAAAUGAAAAUGCUUUUCCAGGCACUUAAACCACAUCUUAGAAUUGGGCAACGAAAAGAAGACAUCAUUGGAUACUAUAUCUGACCUUUGCUUUUGCUACCAGCAACAUAAAGUAAUACCAUUUACUGCACAGGUCAAAUCGAAAAAUCAUGUGAAGAUGACAUGGCCCUUUUUUCUCGAGAGCUACCAGUCACACUUCCUAAAUCUUCAUACCCAAGGAGGGUGACCUUCACAGACUACAUGGUUCUCCAGCCAAAUAUAUGCACUUUCCCACUGGAUCCACCAAACAAAUAAAUAAUGGUAAAGC